rnacentral:rRNA from 1 species
AUACGGAGGAUGCGAGCGUUAUCCGGAUUUAUUGGGUUUAAAGGGUGCGUAGGCGGAUUAAUAAGUCAGUGGUGAAAACCUUCAGCUUAACUGGAGACUUGCCAUUGAUACUGUUAGUCUUGAGUGUGGUUAAGGUAGGCGGAAUGUGUAAUGUAGCGGUGAAAUGCUUAGAUAUUACACAGAACACCGAUUGCGAAGGCAGCUUACUGAGCCAUAACUGACGCUGAUGCACGAAAGCGUGGGGAGC